CCACUUCCAACCGAGAGGUUGUGAGUUCGAGUCUCCCCAAUAGUAAGGUGGAAAGUUCUUGGAGGGAAGAAUGUCGGGAGUCUAUUUGGAAACAGCCUCUCUACCCAAUGGUAGGGAUAAGGUCUGCGUACACACUAUACUCCCCAUACCCCACUAAAUAGGAUUAUACUGGGUUGUUGUUAUUGUUGUGGCAGGAAGUACUACUAGACUUUAACUGCAUAACAUGUGGGAGGUACGUAAAUAAAGGUGAAAGAAAAAAAAAUUACGUAAAUAAAGGUGAAAGAAAAAAGAUAAUUAAGAAAAAGAAAGACUGGAUCCUAGGUUCGAGGGUGAAAAGUUAAAGGCUAAAAGUGAAAAUGUAUAGAUUUGGAGGCAAAAUGACGAAGAACACAGUGAGAGAAAGAGAGUAGGUGAAGGAACUCUCUGGAAGAACCGAGAGAAAAAUGAUUCCAUUAACUCAAAAAUAUCUCUGCCCCUAUACAAAUAUACACGUAUAAUAUGACUUGGGUCGGGUCGAUCGGCCCAAGUGUACAAUGUAAUAAAAAUGAAUUGGGCCAGAAUACAUAGAGGCCCAAAGCUGACUAAGCCUAUAAUAUACAGCAUAUACAAGGAAUAUACAACAGAUAUACAAUCCAAUAUCAAUGUUUAUGCUUAGGCUUAGAGGCCAAAUAANNNNNNNNNNNNNNNNNNNNNNNNNNNNNNNNNNNNNNNNNNNNNNUGUUUAUGCUUAGGCUUAGAGGCCAAAUAAUCUUGUAGCUCAACACCCCCCUCAAGUUGGAGGGGGAGACCACCUUCAACUUGAGCAGCAAAGGAUGGAGAACAGUUCUGGGCAGAGGCUUGGUGAGAAGGUCAGCAAGCUGUCGGGAAGUAGGCACAUGAGAAACAGUAAUGAAACCACCAUUCAGCUGGUCCCGAAUAAAAUGAAAAUCCACCUCAAUGUGUUUAGUCCGUUCAUGAAAAACAGGAUUCUACGCUAUAUGAAUGGCAGCCUGACUGUCACAAAAAACAGAGAAAGGAAGAGUAACAGAAACCCCAAUAUCAGUUAACAAACGAGAAAGCCAAGACAAUUCAGCAACCACCUUACUGAGUGCCCUGUAUUCAGCCUCAGCAGAAGAUAAGGAAACCACAGGUUGUUUCUUGGAUUUCCAACUAAUCAAACAACCACCCAAAAGAACACAAAACCCAGUAACAGAUCUACGGGUAUCAGGGCAGGCAGCCAAUUCACUGUCAGAAUAAGCAGUAACAGAGAAUUCAGAACUAGAAGAGUAGAACAGACCCAAAGAAGAAGUACCCUUGAGGUAUCGGAGGACAAUGAGGGCAGCAUUUAUAUGAGGGACUUGGGGACACUUUAGAAAUUGACUCAGAUGCUGAACAACAAAACAGAUGUCAGACCUAGUGUGAGUCAAAAAUAGGAGUUUACCAACAAUACUCCUAUAUUGAUCAGGGGAAGAAAAAAGAUCACUAGAAUCAACAUGAAGUUUGACAUUAAUAUCCAAAGGACUAACAACAGCAGAAACACUAACACAGUCAAACUGAUGCAGCAGGUCGGAAAUAUAUUUAUGCUGAUUAAGGAUCACCCCACCAGGAACAACUGACACCUCUAUGCCCAAAAAAUAAUGCAAAGACCCUAGGUCUUUGAUCCUGAACUGAUCAUCCAGAAACAGUUUCAGGGCAGCAAUCUCAUCAUAGUCAUCCCCAGUAAGAAUAAUGUCAUCCACAGUUUCAGGGCAGCAAUCUCAUCAUAGUCAUCUCCAGUUAGAAUAAUGUCAUCCACAUAAACUGCAACAAUCACAAGGGACCCAAGUGUACCUUUGAUGAAUAAAGAAUAAUCAUUCAAAGAAUGAGUGUAGCCUCUGGAAUAUAGAGCAAAAGACAAUUUAGCAUACCAUUGUCUGGAAGCCUGUCUCAGCCCAUAGAGAAAUUUCUUCAACUUACAGACAGGAGGAGCAGAUGAAGUAGAAACAGAGGCAGAAGAAGGAGAAGAAACAGUCAAACCUGGAGGGAGCUUCAUAUAGACCUCCUCAUCCAAAUCACCAUGUAUGAAAGCAUUGUUAACAUCAAGUUGAAACAAUUGCCAAUUAUUCUUAACAGCCACAGCAAUAAGACACUUAACAGUGGACAUCUUAACCACUAGGGAAAAAGUGUCAGUAAAAUCAAUACCUUCAACCUGAGUAUCGCCUCUAAUCACAAGCCUAGCUUUAUGCCUUUCAACAGAGCCAUCAGCCUUAUAUUUGAUCUUAUAAACCCAUUUGCAACCUAUGGGUUUCUUACCAGGAGGAAGAGGAACAACAUCCCAGGUGUGGUUGACAUCCAAGGCAUCAAACUCCUUUCUCAUGGCAUCCUGCCAUACUGGAAC
rnacentral:lncRNA from 1 species